GACGAACGCUGGCGGCGUGCUUAACACAUGCAAGUCGAACGGUAAGGCCCUCCGGGGUACACGAGUGGCGAACGGGUGAGUAACACGCGGGUGAUCUGCCCUGCACUUCGGGAUAAGCAUGGGAAACUGGGUCUAAUACCGGAUAGGACUCCGGACUGCAUGGUCGGGGGUGGAAAGCUUUUGCGGGGUGGGAGGGGCCCGCGGCCUAUCAGUUUGUUGGUGGGGUGAUGGCCUACCAAGGCGACGACGGGUAGCCGGCCUGAGUGGGUGACCGGCCACACUGGGACUGAGAGACGGCCCAGACUCCUACGGGAGGCAGCAGUGGGGAAUAUUGCACAAUGGGCGCAAGCCUGAUGCAGCGACGCCGCGUGAGGGAUGACGGCCUUCGGGUUGUAAACCUCUUUCAGCAUCGACGAAGCGAAAGUGACGGUAGGUGCAGAAGAAGGACCGGCCAACUACGUGCCAGCCGCCGCGGUAA
rnacentral:rRNA from 1 species